CAACCCUCAAGCUCCGCUUGGUGUUGGGCCGGGCCCGUUCGCGGCCGGCCCCAAAGGCAGUGGCGGCGCCGCCUGGCUCUCAGCGUAGUACGACCCUCGCUGCGGUGCCUGGCGGUGGCCUGCCAGAACCCCCAACUCUGU
rnacentral:misc_RNA from 1 species